UACAGAGGGUGCUAGCGUUGUUCGGAAUCAUUGGGCGUAAAGGGCGUGUAGGCGGUUUGUUAAGUCAUGUGUGAAAGCCCCCGGCUCAACCGGGGAGGGUCAUUGGAAACUGGGGAACUUGAGUACUGAAGAGGAAAGCGGAAUUCCACGUGUAGCGGUGAAAUGCGUAGAGAUGUGGAGGAACACCAGUGGCGAAGGCGGCUUUCUGGUCAGUAACUGACGCUGAGGCGCGAAAGCGUGGGGAGCAAACAGG
rnacentral:rRNA from 1 species